rnacentral:tRNA from 1 species
GGCUCAUUGGUUCAAUGGUAAGGCACUCGUCACACAGCCAGAGGGUGUUGGGUUCAAUCCCCAACAGGGUCG